UACGUAGGGUGCAGGCGUUAAUCGGAAUUACUGGGCGUAAAGGGUCUGUAGGUGGCCAACUAAGUCAGACGUGAAAUCCCUCAGCUUAACUGGGGAACUGCGUCUGAUACUGGUUGGCUUGAGUGCAGGAGAGGAAUGCGGAAUUCCAGGUGUAGCGGUGAAAUGCGUAGAUAUCUGGAGGAACACCGGUGGCGAAGGCGGCAUUCUGGACUGUAACUGACACUGAAAGACGAAAGCCAGGGGAGCAAACGGG
rnacentral:rRNA from 1 species